rnacentral:rRNA from 1 species
AGAGUUUGAUCAUGGCUCAGAACGAACGCUGGCGGCGCGCCUAACACAUGCAAGUCGAGCGCGAAAGUCCCUUCGGGGGCGAGUAGAGCGGCGGACGGGUGAGUAAUACAUAGAUAAUCUCCCCUUGAGCUCGGGAUAACAGCGCGAAAGUGCUGCUAAUACCGGAUAAGACCACGUCACCCAGGUGAUGCGGGAAAAGAUGGCGCUAUUUUCGAAUAGCUAUCACUUUAGGAUGAGUCUAUGGCCUAUCAGCUUGUUGGUGAGGUAAAGGCUUACCAAGGCGAUGACGGGUAGCUGGUCUGAGAGGACGACCAGCCACACUGGGACUGAGACACGGCCCAGACUCCUACGGGAGGCAGCAGUGGGGAAUAUUGGGCAAUGGGCGAAAGCCUGACCCAGCGACGCCGUGUGGGCGAUGAAGGCCUUCGGGUUGUAAAGCCCUGUUGGGUGGAAAGAAGGGCUUUUGGACGAAUAAUCCAGAAGCUUUGACGGUACCACCAGAGGAAGCACCGGCUAACUCCGUGCCAGCAGCCGCGGUAAUACGGAGGGUGCAAGCGUUGUUCGGAAUUACUGGGCGUAAAGGGCGCGUAGGUGGUUGUGUAAGUCAGAUGUGAAAUCCCGAGGCUCAACUUCGGAACUGCAUCUGAUACUGCAUGACUCGAGUGCAGCAGA